UACGAAGGGGGCUAGCGUUGCUCGGAAUCACUGGGCGUAAAGGGUGCGUAGGCGGGCCUUUAAGUCAGGGGUGAAAUCCUGGAGCUCAACUCCAGAACUGCCUUUGAUACUGAGGAUCUUGAGUUCGGGAGAGGUGAGUGGAACUGCGAGUGUAGAGGUGAAAUUCGUAGAUAUUCGCAAGAACACCAGUGGCGAAGGCGGCUCACUGGCCCGAUACUGACGCUGAGGCACGAAAGCGUGGGGAGCAAACAGG
rnacentral:rRNA from 1 species